AUUGGAAGCAGCUGGCUUUGCUGCUUCUUUGGAGUCCUGUCACACCCCUUCUUGGGAGAGAAGUUAAUGCUCCCUUCACUUUUCUCUUGUCCUUGACACAAAACUGACUGAGCGUGGAAUCAAAUGCUUGAUGGGCUGUCCAGCAAACUAGAAUAUUGCUGAUUCACCCAGCUUUUCUUUUCAACUGUGUGCCAGGAAUAUUUAUACAUGGGAUGUGCAGUUAUGGGACAAAGGAGGACACAUUUGGGAUUCAAUUCAGGCUCAGGGUUACAAACGCUCUCUUCUAAUCAGAAGCACACAGCUGCAGAGGGACCUGGUACCUGUUUUCUUCAGAGAGAAAUUGCCAAAAUUCCUCCAUGUUAUAAUAUUGAAAAGGCUGAACUUUCAGCCUCCUGGUUGAAUAGGCAUAAACGUGUCACAGUUUUGAGAAAAUUACGUUUUUAAAUCCAAUCUGUUCAGGAGAUGGGGAUGAUCCCUUAACCCAUCUGCCAUGGGCACCCGAGGCUGAUUUCUGUCCUGGGAGCCUCCCACAGUGAAACACGAGGCAAAACCAGCUUUUCACCAACAGCUGUCUUCCACUCUCAUUUCAUGCAUGAUGGACCUCAGAGGAGUGACUCCUUAGUGUGGGUGUGAUGUGCAUGAAACAAAUCCCUGAGAGGGACAUCCUGCAGCUUCUUCUGGGUGCUGCUGUUCCUAUGGGCUCUCUACCCAGACACACUGCACAGCCUCCCUUGCCAGAAAUCAAAUGCCAGCACUUGUGGGUACACCUGCAUUGCUCAAGACAGUCUAGCAAGAUGCAAAAAUCUUAAUGGAGGUUGUUAAAAUAGAAAUCUGUCAGGUUUCUGUGAAUUACAAGCCAAGCAGAAGAUCUCCAGAGAGAAGGGGGAAACAGCUCUGAAAACCUUGUACUCAAAGAUGGGUCUACACCUGAGAACAUUAACACAAUGUGAAAGCCCGAAAACAUCUGCCAUCAACUGAGAUCCAGGAGGUAAAAGCUAUCCUGGCCUGAAGAGACAUUUGGGGGAAGAACAGUGUGAAGAAAAUGGUGGAUCUGAGAAUCAGCCUGUCUAAUUUGAGUGAGACCUUCCAUUAAGUGAACAAAUAAGCUCUCUCUUUCUGAUUGUCUCAGAUCUUGAAAGGUUUUCAAAAGUCCUUUUUUUGCUAACAUCACAAAGCUUUACAGUUUAGAAAGCCUGGAAUUCAAAGCUUCAUCUACAUUUUUAAUCUACAAAAGUAAAUCUUUUGCACAUCUUAGACUUCUGGGGCAGGAGGCAGAUGCACACCUUCACAUUUGGACUAAGCUGGCCAGCCCCAAGGCAGCUCUCAUCCAGGAGCCAGGGAUCUGCAAUGCAGAGAUGAGUAUCACUACCUUCAAUUUUACAGAUCAGAAAACUGAAACACAAAAAGUAGGCUUUUGGAUUUCAAUUUUAUGGCACAGCAGCUCUGCAGGGACGAAGACACUUUUCCCCAGGCUGCCCCUGCCAGGUGUCUGCAGCAGGGGGAAGGAGCCAGGGCUGUGGCCAGGAGCACCAUGGGUGGUGGUGAACUGAGCAGGGAGAAGAUCACAGCUCCUCUAACAGGUCACAUAUUUAGCACGGAAGCUUUGUGGUGCUUGCCCAGCUCAGUCAGGAUUUCCCAGUGUGCUUCUUCACCUCCAUUUAAUUUUCAUGGAAGACACAGCUUAUGAAGCUGCACCUGGAUUCCACAUUAAUCUUCUUGGAGAACACUCACCAAGGGACUGAAGGCUCCAGCUGGGGCUGGCACUGCUCCCAGAGGCUGAGGGACACCCUGUGGGUACCUCGGAGAGAUGGAUCCACCUCGGAGAGCUGGAUCAUCCUUGGAGAGCUGGAUCCCCCUUGGAGAGCUGGAUCCCCUUUGCAGAUCUGGAUCCCUGGAUCCCCCUUGGAGAGAUGGAUCCCCCCUGGAGAGCUGGAUCUAGGGAUCUCUCUCAGAAAGCUGGAUCCCUGGAUCUCCUUUGGACAGCUGGAUCCCUGGAUCUCCUCUGGACAGCUGGAUCCCCCUUGAAGACCUGGAUCCCUGUGUAGCUCAGGGGCAGCCUGAGGCACCCUGACUGACAGCACAGACCUGUGUUGCCUCUGGCCCUUGGAGGAAAGGGUUCAUCCCUCUUUCCUUCCCAAGAAUUGCAUUCCAUACUGAUGUCUUUAGCAUUUAUAUUUUUACGACCCUGUACUGCAUUAGUGUAGAACUCUGAACUCCAUAUAAAGCAUUAGCAAGCUCUCUUCACAUUUUGGUCAGACAAAACAAUCCUUCCAGGCCUGAGAACCAAGGACAGCCUCGGCCUCAGGCUCCAAGAAGUACAAAUAAAAUGAGUUGGGGGAGGAGAAGCAAACUGGAAGAAUAUGACUUCAUUACCUGAAGCUAUAAUUGAACAAUUAACCUCUGAUAUGCAAAUAGACCAAACUUAUAUUUGUCUCAAAAACUCAUGACCCUCAUCCAUCUUGGGUGUAGCCCCUCUCAGAGGUUUCUGCCUGCCCAAGGUGUCUCUGUUGAAGGCCUUUAAUAAAUACCCACUUUUAUUCUCCUGAUCUUGGCUAGCCUCUGUUCUAGGCAGCCACUCCCAGGCAUCAAGCAAAACAACCACAGAGGUGCUGGCAGUGAAACUCCUGGGUAGUGCCAUUUCCCCCCCAGCUUUGUUUUGUGUGGCUGUGAAACAAGAAUUGUAUUUACAUAUGUUAAAAUAAAUAAAUAAAACCAAAAAAAUCGUUACCUUAA